rnacentral:rRNA from 1 species
AGGAUGAACGCUGGCGGCGUGCUUAACACAUGCAAGUCGAACGAGGUCCAAGGAGCUUGCUCUGGACGACCUAGUGGCGAACGGGUGCGUAACACGUGAGAAACCUGCCCCGAUCUCUGGGAUAACAGUUGGAGACGACUGCUAAUACCGGAUGCCGUCCCACCGCUUCAUGGCGGAGUGACGAAGAUUCAUCGGAU